UAAAAAUAUUAAAUAAUGUUCUCAGAAUAUUAUUUUAAUUUUUAAUAAUAUUCGUAUAAAAUUCUAGGAAUAUCGUGUGCUUACAAGAACGAUUCUUGGAAAAAUCACAAGCGUGAUUUACCCACGCUGGUGAACAAAGUAUUAUAUGAAUUACAGUAAUUUAAUUAAUGAAUCCCUUGAUGUCCGACCGGUCACCAAAUUGCUAAUCGCGUUUUUAACGGGAGGCGAAAGAACGUUCGGAAAAUAAUGUAAUUAUUGCGCGUUACAAAAAUGGAUGAAUGAACGUAUGUAAAAGAGAACGUGGAACUGCUUUUUCAUUGAAACGCGAUCCCGAUCAGCUGUGUAUGUACAAAGGUGUGCGCCCGGCUCGCGGACAAAAAAGGCGAUGAAACGGAAUUCAAGCCGGCGCGCCGAAACCACGCAUGCCGGCACAUCCGGUCGUACUUCCUCCUGGGAGAAGGUCGCGCUUACUUGCGCGGGUUUCCACACUCGGCACACUGCCUCGGCCAUAAAUGGGUCGCAGCAUCCGAGCGGUAGCUUUUUACGGUACCGAGGUAUUUCGCCGCCGCCGUUGUGAUACCGUUGGUAUGCAUAAGCAAUGUCGCGAGCGAUACAAAACACCGGUACCUUGGCGAGAUUUCCGGAUUGAUACGAUAAUCGUUAUCGUUCAUUCGAUCGAGGGCAAUUCGAUUUAAAAUUGUUUCAUUCUUUAUUCCGCGUGAGCGAGACUCGAAGCGAACUUUCUAAAUUCCAAAAUCUACAGUUCACUCAAAUGAUUCGUAAAAUUCACUUUAAAUACGCAUUAGUUCUAGAAUGCUACUUAUUAUAUAUAUAUAUAUAUUUUUUUUUGCAUUGAUUGCGUUCAACGGAAAAAAACAGUUUUGCAACUAUUGCAAUAUUCAUUAAUAUGACUGGUUUUUGCCUUUAGUUCCUACCGCAUAUGAAAUGUAUAAACAUUAUAUUAAAGAAUUUUACAAUAGUUGCAAAGCUGCUUUUUCCGCUGAACGCAAUAAUUAAUAUUUUAAGAAAUUUAUUCACAAAAUUAAAAUGUUUUUUUGAGAAUUUUUAAACAUUUUCUCCUACGUUGUAAGUUGCAAGAUGCUGGAAUAACAAUUUUAAUAUAAAAUCUUAUUAAAUGUUAUUUUAAGCUAUCAAAAUUUUAGUAACAAACUGUGCUAAACUUGUGUGUGAAUUAGCUAAAUUCCCAGAGUAGCAUUCUAGAGUUAAAAAGCGUUCCCGCGUAUAAAUUAUGGACCACGUGUUACGUUUUCUAAAUCACGGUCCUCGUAAAUUAAUGGCGCACCUCAAGUAUACACGAGGUCCGAAGAAUAUCUCACGAAUUAUAUACUCCGAAAGCCCCGGCUAUGAAUGGCGCGAAGGGCACGUGGCAUUUAGAGUUCCCAUCCAUCUUUUUCUCCCAGACACCGUCUAGUUUUUUUUUUCUUUUUUAGAGAGCAUUUGCUGAGAUUUUCCGAAGGCGUCUAUGAUAAUUAACGUGAUCUCAAUUGAUAUUAAAAUGUGAUUUUUUGACUGAUUUAUGAUGCAUUUGCAAAGUAAACGACAGUAGUGUAAACUAUUUUUUUAUUCAUGUGAAUUCUUUAAUACGUUUUAUAUUUAUUGAUCGAUUGAUUUUAUUUUUUUUUUAAUUAUUAAUAAAACAUGCAGAUAUGUUCUAAACAUGUAAUACAACUUUUUAUAAAAAAAAAAAAAACAUUCUAAGUAUCUUUUCAUUAUUUUUUAUUUUAAACGAAAUGUUCGGAAUUUUUGGCAUUAUUAUAAGUUCUAGAUUUGAAAGUUUUGAUAUGGCAACCCUAAGUACGUGUGCAUUAGCCGUAUCGUGAUUCUCGAGUAAUUCGUGUGAUUCGUGCGACCUUCGUCGAACCUCGUCGAUGAGAGAUACGCACCGAGUACUUCAAAUGCCAUGUAAUGAAUAAAGAACGAAUAAAACCGAGUGCGCGAAGAGCGUUGCCUCUUUCGCGAAGAGAAAGCCGAAGCCGUGUAGACAAGAUGAAGAAAAAAAAUCCGUGACAGAAAGUCUUUUUUUUCGAUCUCGUUAUGGAGACUCGAAGAUAAAAGUUUCAGGAGCAAGUAAAAGAGCAAUUAAAGGCCCAACGUAAUCAUUUUAUCAAUUUAUGCACAUAAAGAGCAGUUUUGCAGUGUUUAAAAUUGUAAUUAGACAUAGACGUGAAAAUAAUCUUGCUGGGAUCGAAAUAAUUAUGUGGGACGCUCAAGCUGGUUGCUAGAGUGUCGAAACUUCUUGCAACAUUGCCCAUCAUGUUUGAGCAUCCUUCCCAUACAGCACAGAAUACAAUACGAUGUAACGUUUCAGCAAUAUUGAAGCAACAUUGCAACAUUUCAGAGACACUGCAAAAUUUCAGCGACGUUGCAGAGACAUUGCUAGAAUAUGUUGCAAAAGGAUUUAUAAUUAUUUUGAUGGUCAAACAAAAUUAUUUUCGGAACUAUGUGUCCAAUUUUUAAACAUUGCGGCAAAAUCGUGUACGAAAAGAUAGUUCGCCUGGUAGCUGAAGCGUGAAUUAUCGUUCGGAUUGUAAACUGGAACGGACACAGGCCGAAGACGUUAUUGCAUUCGAGGAAGUGAAAAUUUUGGUCGAUAAAAGAUAUGUGUUAAUGGUACAAGCUAAUAUCUCUGAUAAUGAUUUUCAACGUGUGCGUUUCAAUGAACGAUAGAGCGCCGGAAUUCCACGAACAUUGAACAUCGAUUAACAUCAGCUCAAGCGCGUUGAAGAGGAGGAAAAGAUUGAAAGAGCGAUCUCGCCCGGGAUACUUUAAAAACCGAUCGAUUCUCGCGUAUUCUUCGCUUCUCGUUUUCCCUUCGUUGUGACGUCGUCGUCGCGACUCGCCCGAGCCAUGCAAUCUCUAUAGGGAAAAAGAUGAGUUGCGGUUACGCGCGCCGAGUUAUUUCGCUUCGUGCGCACGGGUGUGCGUGCGUGCGUGCGUGCGUGCGUGCGUGCGUUUCGAUUAAUUUCGCGGGAGAAGUCGGCCAGAAGUGGCCGAAAGCCAUCGAAGAGCCCGAUCUCACCACGAAUCCGCGACGAGACGGAGGAGGAGGUAGAUGGACGAGGUGUAUAGAACGAAAGAGAGAGAAGGAGACCGGCUCUUACGGGAGAAGUAUACAAUCUCCCUUCUCCUCCUCGAACUCCCUCCACGAAACGACUCGCCAUCGAAAGAUGUUGCUGCUGCUGCUGCUGCUGCUGCUGCUGCUGCUGCUGCUGCCCGCCGCUCUCUCGCGUAGCUAACGCACAUAGAUACAUACAUUAUCUUCGCGAACGGGCGAGCGAAUGCGCAUCCUGAGCCUCCCGCGGUGAGUUCGCCGCUUAUAGUGGAUAGUGGGUGUGCACGCGGCUCGCCGGUGGGUCGCGCAUACCGCGCGUGUCCUCGUCACCGUCGGGGUAUUCCCGCUUAUUUUACCGCAUCCGAUGCGCACGCUGGCCACGUACGCGCGCGGACAGACGGCCAGUUACACGCAAUCCCGCUUUCGCGAUUAGUCUCCCGCGCGCGUAAAAGGCUGACGAGGUACCACGCUUGUGCGACCAAUUUCUCAGACAUGCUGACUGCGGCUGUGGCACUGACAAGUUCUCGAGAAGUUUUCUAUCUCUUGUGAAGCGUAUCAAUCUGUUUGAAAAGUUCGUCGAGCGAAUAAAAAUGGCAAAAGUCGCGCCGCGUGACGAUUCAGGUGGUAAUCGUUCGGUUGAUCGAUCAGAUAUCACAGUACUGCGAUUCAUUGAAAGCGAAGAAGAAGAAGAAGAAGAAGAAGAGAUCGAUCAGUGAUUGAGACGAGGACGACGCAGGCGAAGUUUCCUCCACCUGGUCCCGCUUGGUCCCGCUGCACGCCCCGAAGAGAUCGCCGCGAGAGAUUCCGCAAGGACAUCGCGAGAUCACCGUCACCGUCGCCGCCGCUGCCGCCGCCGCCGCCGCCGCGUCGUCGUCGCAGUGGGGAUCGAUCGCGGCCUCGUAUAAUCGCGGCGCCGACGUCAUGGUCGCGCGACAGUUUUUCCGCAGUCGCCGCGAGUGUGGUACCGCGUACGGGAGGAAUGUUCGCUCCGCCGGUCUCUCCUUCUCUCCAGCCGGAGUCGCGGAGUGUUGUAGGCGAAACUACGAGUUUACCUCGUGUGACAAAGUUGCCCUCUUUCCCUUUUCCUAUCUCCCCCCCCCCUCUCCUCUCUUCCUCCUUUAUCCGCGAGUUUUCCGUGCGUGACGACGACGGGAACGGCGCUGGAGAAAGUGAGGCUUCCGGAAAUACACAUGCGCCGGAGUGCUUCCGUUUAUGUAACCGCCGCAGCCGCCGCCGUUCACCGAGAAAGAUAUCGCACGUGCGGGCAUCGAAGUCUCCCGACGAUUCGACUCUUCGGCGAGCCGCAUGGAGCGUCCCGUCCCCCGUUGGCCCUCACCCACGCUGCGGAGCUUUUUUUUUUUUCGAAAAAAGGAGUGCGCGUAUGUGCGUGCGUGUGUGCGUGUGCGAACACCAGAGGAUUGCGGCGGAGUGCAGCGGGACGGACUUUCGUCAUCGGCGGCGAUGACUGAGACGGAGCCGACUGUAGACCACAACGUUCCGAUAACGAGGCUGAAAAGUCGAGCAUGACUGUGAACUGCUUUGCACGUUUGCAUGGACGUUGUAUCUCGUUUCGGGCGGAUCCUCCUUCGAAAUUCCGUCGCGCUGUUCGUGGCAAAGAGUCGGCCCGAGUUACACGCGCCUAUACGAUAUAUUCUUUCUCUCCUCUUUCAAGCUGUGGACUGGCGUUUCGACAUGUCGAUACGAUCGCGGGGAGUCAUCGUAGCGGAGAAGGGACCUUGGACGCACUUACCCGAGGAUAAGUCAAACGUUUACAUAACAGCGGUGGCUUUAGAAAGUGCUAGGGGAUCGAAAACAUUUUCAUUACCGUGAUAACGCCAAGAGAUAAGGCCAAGGAAAAGAUGAGAGACGGGACGAAAGUGAUAAUGGCUCUCUAAUUUAGGGUCCCGGUUAAGAAAGUUAGAUCGAGUAUCACGAGAAUUAACAUCGAUUUCUCUCACAUCCGUUCGUUACUCAACAUUGGUUUCUCCACACCCUGAACAAAAAGAUUUUGAUAAUAGUAAUUAAGCUUUGGUGAAAUAAUUACAAACAAAUGUCUGAUUGAUAUAACCAAGUAUUUAGAAAUUACUAUUAUUAGUAAUAAACAUAAUAAUAGUAACUAACCAGUUACUAAACGGUCAUUAAGUCGCUAAAUGUUACUAAAUAUUUGAUAUUAACUAAAUAUUUAAUUGAAACUAUUUCACGAAAACUCGAUAAUAAUUAUGAUCUAAGCUUGACUAUAUUACUAUCAAAACUCUAGAUCUCUUCGUAUUUAUUUAUGCGUAUCUUAUUACAAUACUGCAAUAUACACAUUCCUAUAUUUUAUUACAUUUUGGGUGCGAGAGAAACGAGGUCCUUCGCGUAAAAAAGGAGAGAGAGAAAGAGAGAAGAGGAGAGGCGGGCGCGCGCCCGCCCGACGAUUUGGUAUUCAAAUCGCCGUCUCUUGUGCAAUUCCCUCUUGUCUGUUUCUUUCCUUUUUCUUCUUUCCGUAUUCCAUCCUGGGUCCUUACGACCUUUCCACGUCUACCUGCCUGCGUGCCCCGCGUAUUUUUAGGCGUGACACGCUUUCUUUGUGCCGGUCGGCCGGACCACCGUCGCAAAAAUGAUUCCUCGUAAAAGAAUACGCGCGGUACUGUUACUGGUAAAUCGACGCGUUUCUCCUCUUCUUUUUUUUCACCUCCUUUCCUCCCCCCCCCCCCUCUGCGCCAAACGUUUCUUACGCGCUUCUAUCUCCAAUUCUUAUUUAACGCUGCUUAAAAAUUGACCUCUAACUGUAAAUUCCUACUAAAAAUUUUAAUUGUAAGUUAUGAACGUACAAACUAUUCUCUUCCAAUUCAAUAAAAAUAAGUCGUGAAAAUUGACAAUAAUUUUAAAUAGUUUUGAUUUUUAUAUUCGUACACAAUUAUUGUAUUCGAGGAAAAAAAUUUUUAAUAUUUAGUCCGAUGCGUUCAACUAUUUGGAUUGAUUCAACAAUCAUUUAGUUGUACAAAAAAAAAAGGUUCACGUCGAUCAUUAAUUUUUUUAACUAAAUCAACUCGAACUUUGGUCGAACGGAUUAAAUAUUUUGUUUUUUCAGCAAAUUCUUUUUCUCGGUAUAACGCAAAAAGAAAUUUCUUCGGUUUUGCAAUUACACACGUUACGCGUGAUAAUAAUCAUAAUCACAAGUAAAGGACUGUAUAUGUAUACAAUAUGAUCGCUCGUACGUUUCUCAUCCGAGUUUUUCGAGUUAUUUGAUAUUCUUUCAUUCUCGUUACUUCUCGUUACCAAGGCCAGCCUUAUAAUGUAUGCACAUAUAAUUCUGUAAUUUAAAUAUAAACGACACAGAGAGAAUGCCUAAUGGAUUCCGUACGACGAUUUCUUUUUAGACGCUCUUUGAAAUCCUGGUUCAUUCUCGAAUAUACGUCGAGCGAUGACAUUUCGUGACUCGAAAUUCCCAACGGCGGUGAGGAUGACCCGCAGUGCAGUGUUUGGACAAUGACUGAAGCGGAAAGCCACAGAAAACGAUUCUUCAUUUGUGUUACGAGCUUCUAAGCGCAGGUUACUACUACGAUUAUCAUUCUAAGUAUACUCGGACGCUGUUUUAAUCAUUAUUAUACGGCAUGGCCAGGAUAACUACAGGCGAGUGGAAACUACCGUGGGAAGAAGGCUGCGAAAAGAGCGGACCAGACGAAGGCAAAAAAAAGAGAGAGAGAGAUAGAAGACUCGGCGGAAGGAGAACCGAGUAACUUGGUUUAGCCUCUCCUAGGCUUUGUCUGUAUGGGAGGACAGAGACAUAGCCUAGAAUAGGUUAGGUCAGGGCUCGUUCAACAUGGAUCAUCUACCGGCAUAUGAUCUCCACGGCUCGGCGCCGAAGAGAGGAGGUGCGAAGGGGUAUCGCUCAGGGUCAAGCUCAAGGUUAACACUCGACGGGAUCGGCUCUAAAGGAUGUCAUGCGUGCACGCGCGUGCGCGCGCGCGCGCAUUGGAAUGCGUCAGGAAUUUUAACGUUUAUUAAUAAUAAUAAUAAUAAUUGACGCUAUGUCGUUUGAGAGAUUUUCGCGCGAUGAGAUGUAAUAAUGAAGCGAGAUCGAGCGGAAAAUAUAGAUCACGCGGUCGCCGAAAAUAAUCUUUAUAUAUGUAUGUAUCUGAAAAUAUCAGGAAGUUCUUUGAUAAAUACACGCGUACAAUGUUUGCGAUUAUAUAUACAUUAGAUUAUGUAUAAUUAUCGUGUUGAAAUGUUUUUCUGUUAGCCUAUCCAAAACACGAUAAAUAUUGUUUUAAUAUAGUUUGCUAAAUGUAGA